rnacentral:lncRNA from 1 species
AGAAGCGGAUGCAGAGUUAUUAAACAGGAAAUGUGACAACUUAUGGCAAAGUACAGAAAUUAAAUGAUGAAAACUGGAAAGCAGUCCUGUAGUUAUCAGGUUAUUUCAGCCAAUUAAAUGUUUCAUUAUGCUUGGUUAUUUUCGUUCUUACAUAUCUUUUUCUAAAUCUUCUGUGCUGCAACUUAGGAAAUACUUACCAAUAUUGUAGUUCAGAAGAGAUGUAAUUGCAAUCCGUGCACGAUCCGACAACGGGCUGGAAACCGACAGGAGCUGUUUUAUGUCUGAUUUCUCAAAUGAUGUUGCUUUUCCAGGGAAAAAAGGAAAAUAAAGUUAGGUAUCACAAAUUUUAUUCAUGCAACAGCAGAUUUAUUUGGAGAUAUACCUGGAUUAACCAGUACCAACACCAAAUCGAUGCAAGGAUUACGAGCAGCUACUGCAAGUGCUAUGCAUCCUCCAAAAGAAGUCCCCAAAAGGUAGAUGGGCUUAUUAGGUGAAGUGGCAUGCUCUGCUCUCACAACAUCCUCUACCAUUUCAACAAGUUCUGAAAAUGAAAAACAGCUAAAACCAUGCAAUCUGAGAACUUCACAUUAUCUGUUAUUCGCUCUAAAUAAUGAAAUAAGUUUAAAAAUUCAUGUAUGGAUGGAAAUACUUCAAACAGAAAUUAAUUCACAGAUAUGUUGAUACCUUCAAAUGGCGUGCGGUCGUGGAAGGGAAUGUGCAUACAUCUUAGUUCAAAAAUCCUGUGAAUUCAAAGACAACUUGUCUAGUAUUAUUACGGAAGUCGUAAAAAUUGAACCCAUGUAGUAUCAUUGUAAUCUAAAUUGCCUAUAAUCAACUCCUAUAAAAUUGUGAGCUCUCAUCAUAUUCUAAGAGAAGGCCUGAUAAAAAUUGCAGACAAGUGAAAGUAUCUAGAAGUGAUCUCACCUUCCAAGUGCCUUGUGGUGCAUGAAGAGCCCCAUCCCCAUACCAUCUACCCCUGAAAAGUUUCCAAUCCAAAUCAAAUCAAAUAAAGGCUAAGCUGCAGGACAAAACUAUUGAGGAUUCUACAACACAAACAUUCGGUAUAACUGUACCGGG